AUUGAACGCUGGCGGCAUGCUUUACACAUGCAAGUCGAACGGCAGCGCGGGCUUCGGCCUGGCGGCGAGUGGCGCACGGGUGAGUAAUACAUCGGAACGUGCCCAGUAGUGGGGGAUAGCUCGGCGAAAGCCGGAUUAAUACCGCAUACGACCUGAGGGUGAAAGCGGGGGAUCUUCGGACCUCGCGCUAUUGGAGCGGCCGAUGGCAGAUUAGCUAGUUGGUGGGGUAAAGGCCUACCAAGGCGCCGAUCUGUAGCUGGUCUGAGAGGGCGACCAGCCACACUGGGACUGAGACACGGCCCAGACUCCUACGGGAGGCAGCAGUGGGGAAUUGUGGACGAUGGGCGAAAGCCUGAUCCAGCAAUGCCGCGUGUGUGAUGAAGGCCUUCGGGUUGUAAAGCACUUUUGGCGGGAACGAAAAGGACUGUGCCAAUACCACGGUUCGAUGACGGUACCCGCAGAAUAAGCACCGGCUAACUACGUG
rnacentral:rRNA from 1 species